rnacentral:rRNA from 1 species
GAUGAACGCUGGCGGCGUGCCUAAUACAUGCAAGUCGAGCGAACAGAUGAGGAGCUUGCUCCUCUGACGUUAGCGGCGGACGGGUGAGUAACACGUGGAUAACCUACCUAUAAGACUGGGAUAACUUCGGGAAACCGGAGCUAAUACCGGAUAAUAUAUUGAACCGCAUGGUUCAAUAGUGAAAGACGGUUUUGCUGUCACUUAUAGAUGGAUCCGCGCCGCAUUAGCUAGUUGGUAAGGUAACGGCUUACCAAGGCAACGAUGCGUAGCCGACCUGAGAGGGGGAUAGGCCACACUGGAACUGAGACACGGUCCAGACUCCUACGGGAGGCAGAAGUAGGGAAUCUUCCGCAAUGGGCGAAAGCCUGACGGAGCAACGCCGCGUGAGUGAUGAAGGUCUUCGGAUCGUAAAACUCUGUUAUUAGGGAAGAACAAAUGUGUAAGUAACUAUGCACGUCUUGACGGUACCUAAUCAGAAAGCCACGGCUAACUACGUG